rnacentral:rRNA from 1 species
UACGGAGGAUCCAAGCGUUAUCCGGAUUUAUUGGGUUUAAAGGGUGCGUAGGCGGCCGCAUAAGUUAGAGGUGAAAUCCCGGGGCUCAACUCCGGAACUGCCUCUGAUACUGUGUGGCUAGAGAAUGGUUGCUGUGGGCGGAAUGUGUAGUGUAGCGGUGAAAUGCUUAGAGAUUACACAGAACACCGAUUGCGAAGGCAGCUCACAAAGCCAGUUCUGACGCUGAGGCACGAAAGCGUGGGGAGCAAAC